GUUAAACAAAUUCUUGGAGAGGGCGAGAGUGGUGACUAAAGAGAGGAGCCUUUCCUCCCCUUUUGCCUGCGCUCCGGCGCGCGGAGGUGGGUGAGCUCCGGGGAGCCGCCGGCGGGCUCAGCCCUCCGCUGCGGGUGGGUCCCGGCAGAGGCGCGGCGGGCGGGGCGCGGGCUCCCGCGGCCGCCCCGGGUCUGCUGCGCGGGCAGGCAGACCCACCGGCAGACAGGCGGACCGGGCGCUCGGCUGUCGCUGUUCUCCGCGCGGCGGCUGCGGGGCUUCUGACUUGGAGAACAAUGAAGCGUGAGCUGGAGGGGAGCGAGCGGGCCGCCGGGAGCGCACUGUGUACAAACAGAGGCGGCGUGCGUAGCCUUUGGAAGGAAUUGGGCCAUGAGAAGAGCCCUCAUGAAUGGGAUUAGUUCCCUUAUAAGAAGAGACACCAAGGAAGUGAUCUUUCUCUGCCCUCUGCUAUGUGAAGACAAGGUCAUCUGCAGUUUUUUGUUGUUGUUGAUGAUCUUCCUGUCAUAGACAAUGCUGUAACAAACAGACUAAUUGUUCACUGUUGACAUAUAGAAGUACUACUGAUUGGCCAGACAUAGUGGCUCAUGCCUGGAAUCCCAGCACUUUGGGAGGCCAAGGCAGGUGGAUCACUUGAGCCCAGAAGUUUGAGACCAGCCUGGGCAACAUGAUGAAACCCCAUCUCUACAAAAUAAAUAGAAAAAUUAGCUGGGUAUGGUGGCAUGUGCCAGUAGUCCCAGCUACAUGGGAGCCUGAGGUGGGAGGACGACUUGAGCCCAGGAGGUGGAGGUUACAGUGAGCUGAGAUCAUGCCACUGCACUCCAGCCUGGGUGACAGAGUGGGACUCUGUCUAAAAAAAAAAUUGUAUUAUCUGUAAACGGAAAUAUAAAUAAUUUAACUUCUUCUUUUCCAA